GCAACGCGAAGAACCUUACAGGCCUUGACAUGCAGAGAACUUUCCAGAGAUGGAUUGGUGCCGUUCGGGAACUCUGACACAGGUGCUGCAUGGCUGUCGUCAGCUCGUGUCGUGAGAUGGUUGGGUUAACGUCCCGUAACGAGCGCAACCCUUGUCCUUAGUUACCAGCACGUUAUGGUGGGCACUCUAAGGAGACUGCCGGUGACAAACCGGAGGAAGGGUGGGGAUGACGUCAAGUCAUCAUGGCCCUUACGGCCUGGGCUACACACGUGCUACAAUGGUCGGUACAAAGGGUUGCCAAGCCGCGAGGUGGAGCUAAUCCCAUAAAACCGAUCGUAGUCCGGAUCGCAGUCUGCAACUCGACUGCGUGAAGUCGGAAUCGCUAGUAAUCGUGAAUCAGAAUGUCACGGUGAAUACGUUCCCGGGCCUU
rnacentral:rRNA from 1 species